rnacentral:tRNA from 1 species
GCGCCCGUAGCUCAAUGGAUAGAGCACCGGCCUUCUAAGCCGUAGGUUGCAGGUUCGACCCCUGCCGGGCGCGCCA